ACACCUUCCGCUUAGGGGUCAGGUGGAAACAUAGCGGAAAACCUCCAUAUGACUACAUGUAUAUCUGAUUAAAAUCUAAUAUAAAACAUAACGGAACAACGUUAUCAACGGUAAUGAUCCGAAACAAACCCGGACUCAAAUGGCAUGUGUCCAUUGACCUUCUGUGGUAAAAAUCUCAGUCCUGGAGACCACUAGAACCUAUCAGGAACCACCAGGAUCCAUUGGGAUCCAUCAGGACCCACCAGGACCCAUCAGGACCUAACAGGACCCACCAGGACCCAUCAGGACCUAACAGGACCCACCAGGAAACACAAGGACCUCAUUAGGACCGAUCAGGACCAAUCAGGACACACCAGGACCCACCAGGACCCACCAGGACCCAACAGGACCCACCAGGAAACACCAGGACCUCAUUAGGACCCAUCAGGAACCACCAUGACCCAUCAGGAACCACCAGGAACCGCCAGGACCUCAUAAGGACCGAUCAGGACCAAUCAGGACACACCAGGUCCUCAUUAGGACCCAUCAGGAUCCACCAGGACCCAUCAGGACCCAUCAGGACCCACCAGGACCUUAUUAGGACCCAUCAGGACCCAUCAGGACCCACCAGGAACCACCAAGGCCGUUGCUGGAACAACAACUCCCCUGAAGAGCGCUGCAGUGAGAUCCCAGCAGGACCCACCAGGACCCAGCAGAUUGCCUCUUCUCAUAGAGAAAAGUGCUGCACAGUAUGAAUGUGUGAAUGUUAAACUUUAUAGAGCUUGAGUGUCAUCAAGACAAGAAAAGAUCUUUAUAUAUACACAAGCACACACCCAUAUGUGCACACUCACACACACACACACACAAGGACACAAACAUACACACACAGCAGCUGUUGUCUCUUCACUGCGCAAAGACAAGGACAAUGUCCAGCUGCUCCAAAACAAUGCAGCUCUCCUCUGUCCUCAAACAUGGCAAACAUGACAUGUAUGUGACAUAUGAAUAUGCAGCAGCUGCUGGUGUCUGUCCAACAGAACCACAGAGAACACACGCAGACACACACUGAUCGAUACUUACUGUUAGACCCUAAAGGACCACUAGAACCUCCUAACUGUAGGAUCUGGUGGUCCUUAAAGUUCUAGUGGUCCUUAAGGAUCUAGGGUUUAGAGCGAAUCACAGCACAGAGACAGUGUUGCUGAAAGUCACUAACGACCUUCUAAUAGCUUCAGAUGUUUGUGUCUGUCCUCGUCCUGUUAGGUCUCAGUGCAGCAUUCAACACUAUCGACCUUUACAUUUUGUAACAGAGACUGGAACAGUUCAUUAACAUUAAAGGAACCGCCCUAAACUGGUUUAAAUCAUAUUCAUCAGAUUGAUUCCAAUUGUGCAAAUUAGUGAUGAGUCAUCUGUGUGCACCAAAGUUAAACACGGUGUUCCACAGGGUUCUGUGUUCGGCCCAAUCUUAUUAACGUUAUUUAUUCUUCCACUAGGAAACAUUAUCAGGAGACACUCAUUGCUAUGUGGAUGACAUCCAGUUAUACUUUCAUUAAAACCUGAACAGUGUCAUCAAUUAAUUAAACUUCUUGUUUCAAGGACAUAAAAACCUGGGUGAGCUGUAAACAGAGGUUCUAAAACAAUACAUACACAACAUGUCUCCUCACAUCUUCUACCAUCAGGACCUCCUCAGUUCAUCUGCUCCUUCAUCUCCAUCACACAUGAUGUAGAAACACUUUAAACAUGAAGACACAAACUGGUUCUCCUCAUGUAGUGAAUCCUGUUGUUGUGUUGUUGUGAUGUUGUGUUGUGUUCCAUCAGCAUGUGUGUGUCCUGGGAGAGGAUCCUCACAUGGGACUGAGCUUCAUCACUGAUCACUAAGUUUCUGUUUGACUAUUGUUGAGUUAAGAGCAGGAAGUUGAUCCUUGUUAACAUCUGUGAGACAAAAUUGGAUUUAUGAAUAUGACAUAUUAUGUUUGACGAUACCAAUAAAAUCUGAUUGAUGGUUGAAA